UAACAGAUAUUUACAAUGCCUUUAAACACAAAGGAAUUAACAAAGUACAGUCACCUCUCGAUUAACACGAGUUUAAAUAAUGCGUUUUUGAUUUAACAUGAGUUGAUAUUUAAGGAGAUACGUUUAACUAACGCGAUAUGUUCGAUCUAACACGAGUUUCAUCGAUGACGUCAUGCUCGAUGACAUCACUUUCAAUGACGUCACGCUCGAUGACGUCACCGCGAGGAGACGCUCUCAGUCUGAAGCUAGCCGGCACUGUGAGUGGAACGUUUCUCUGGAAUACGUACACUGCAUUUUGACCUCUACUAUGGCACCCAAGCGUCCUUCCACCUCCUCACAGGAGGUGGAAGAACGGGGUGAGGAGGGAGGAGGGAGAGCGGGGUGAGGAUUCGGCAGACGACGACCAGUGACGCAUCAACAAAGUGAUGAUAAGUGAGCUGCCGAUACAAAGGCCUGGCUGGGGAGAAAUCCCAAGCCACCUGUGACAUCAAGAUCAAGAUCGAGGAGGGACGGUGGCUGACGCAGGUGAAGAACAAAUUUAAAUAAAUUGAGAGCACGUG